rnacentral:rRNA from 1 species
AGAGUUUGAUCCUGGCUCAGGACGAACGCUGGCGGCGUGCUUAACACAUGCAAGUCGAACGGUGAAGUCCCUUCGGGGGCGGAUCAGUGGCGAACGGGUGAGUAACACGUGGGCAAUCUGCCCCUCACUGUGGGAUAACUCCGGGAAACCGGGGCUAAUACCGCAUAUGAAGCCUGGCGGCAUCGCCGGGUUUGGAAAGUUUUUCGGUGAGGGAUGAGCCCGCGGCCUAUCAGCUUGUUGGUGAGGUAAUGGCUCACCAAGGCGACGACGGGUAGCCGGCCUGAGAGGGCGACCGGCCACACUGGGACUGAGACACGGCCCAGACUCCUACGGGAGGCAGCAGUGGGGAAUAUUGGGCAAUGGGCGAAAGCCUGACCCAGCGACGCCGCGUGCGGGUUGAAGGCCUUCGGGUUGUAAACCGCUUUCAGCAGGGAAGAA